GAUGAACGCUGGCGGCGUGCCUAAUACAUGCAAGUCGAGCGAAUGGAUUAAGAGCUUGCUCUUAUGAAGUUAGCGGCGGACGGGUGAGUAACACGUGGGUAACCUGCCCAAAGACUGGGAUAACUCCGGGAAACCGGGGCUAAUACCGGAUAACAUUUUGAACCGCAUGGUUCGAAAUUGAAAGGCGGCUUCGGCUGUCACUUAUGGAUGGACCCGCGUCGCAUUAGCUAGUUGGUGAGGUAACGGCUCACCAAGGCAAGGAUGCGUAGCCGACGUGAGAGGGGGAUCGGCCAAGCUGGGACUGAGACCAGGCCCAGACUCCUACGGGAGGCAGCAGUAUGGAAUCUUCCGCAAUGGACGAAAGUCUGACGGAGCAACACCGCGUGAGUGAUGAAGGCUUUCGGGUCGUAGAACUCUGUUGUUAGGGAAGAACAAGUGCUAGUUGAAUAAGCUGGCACCUUGACGGUACCUAACCAGAAAGCCACGGCUAACUACGUGCCAGCCGCCGCCGUAA
rnacentral:rRNA from 1 species